rnacentral:tRNA from 1 species
ACUUAUUUAUUUUAUUUGGCGCAUUCGUAAUGCGUGGGUCGAGUGUUCGAAUCACUUAGUUGGCACCA